rnacentral:rRNA from 1 species
UACGUAGGGUGCGAGCGUUAAUCGGAAUUACUGGGCGUAAAGCGUGCGCAGGCGGUUUUGUAAGCCAGAUGUGAAAUCCCCGGGCUUAACCUGGGAAUGGCAUUUGGGACUGCAAGGCUUGAGUGCGGCAGAGGAGACUAGAAUUCCUGGUGUAGCAGUGAAAUGCGUAGAUAUCAGGAGGAAUACCGAUGGCGAAGGCAGGUCUCUGGGCUGAAACUGACGCUCAUGCACGAAAGCGUGGGGAGCAAACAGG